GACGAACGCUGGCGGCGUGCUUAACACAUGCAAGUCGAACGCUGAAGCUCAGCUUUUGUUGGGUGGAUGAGUGGCGAACGGGUGAGUAACACGUGAGUAACCUGCCCCCUUCUUUGGGAUAACGCCCGGAAACGGGUGCUAAUACUGGAUAUUCACUGGUCUUCGCAUGGGGGUUGGUGGAAAGGGUUUUUCUGGUGGGGGAUGGGCUCGCGGCCUAUCAGCUUGUUGGUGGGGUGAUGGCCUACCAAGGCUUUGACGGGUAGCCGGCCUGAGAGGGUGACCGGUCACAUUGGGACUGAGAUACGGCCCAGACUCCUACGGGAGGCAGCAGUGGGGAAUAUUGCACAAUGGGCGCAAGCCUGAUGCAGCGACGCCGCGUGAGGGAUGGAGGCCUUCGGGUUGUGAACCUCUUUCGCUCAUGGUCAAGCCGCAACAAUGGUUGUGGUGAGGGUAGUGGGUAAAGAAGCGCCAGCUAACUACGUG
rnacentral:rRNA from 1 species